AAUUAUAAUUCUGUACAUAAGGAUAAAAUUGUAAUUUAAAACAAUUUACUCCCAAUCCAAGACAAAGUAAACAAAUAAUUAGGAUUCUGAUUGACAAUCCAUACUUUUAUUUAGUCUAAGUAAACACCCUACUCUCACUCCCACUCCACACUCCUAAUCCAAGGAUUCCCACUCCUCAGGAUUCUCACUCCAAUCCAAAAAGUAAACGCAGCAUUAGUGAAUUUUACGUUUGUACCCCUCAAUUUUAUAUAUUACUAUACAGCCAAGGAUAUCAUUUAUGAUUUCUCCAUUGUGGCCCCCACAAUGCCUCGGCCUCGUCAUUUUACUGAAAUAAUCUUAAAGCCUGCUUUAUUUUACGUUCUAUAAUGGCCUCUAUCAAACCAAAAUCUAAGUUUUGUCAUUCUACAUCAACAUACCGAGAUAGCGUGGAAUACUAAUAACAACAUGUCAUUUUGACAGAUUUGGUCGGUCUUAUAAUAGGAUAAUCUAUUUUUAUGUUACGAGACCCACUAGUUUUAAAGUAAAAAGUUUAAUAAGUCUCACUACUUGGCAAAUGAUGGGUUUGGUGUAUCACCUUAGCAUGCUAAGAUAAUCCGCUCAACGUAAGGUAAGUUUUUCUCUUAAAUUAGGAUCACAACAAAGUUAAUAAUAUCAAUGGUAAAAUAUUGCUUUUGAUGUUUUAGAUAUUGUCUUAGGUUAAAUAACCAUAUGAUAUAAAGCACUUUUAAACAAAACAAUGAUAUAUAGUAUCGAAAACAUAAAAGUUCAAAGGAACCAUCCCUCGGAAUAUUUCUACAUCAUUGGAGUAAAUGUUAGAUAGCAUUAAUUAUUUGGGGUUAUGUUAAGUUUUCAAUAUUAAAGGGGUAGUACUAGAGUAUGUCAAAAUAUUUGGGGUUUGUUUAAAAUAUUCCUAUUAAAAAAUUAUUUGAAUUUCGAAGGUUUUCUUUUGAAUACUUUGAAAGAUUGAAUUUAGCUUAAAAUAAUCGUAUUUAGCAAUUCUCAAAAAAAAAAAAAGGCCUGUUUAAGGCGAUAAUCCAUGUCCCACUAGAAACGAUAAAAUGAGCUGUAAGCAUGAUUAUUGGCUUUUGAUCAUGUCAAUUAAAAAGCCAACCAUUCAGAUAAUUAAAUGACACGCUAAGCUGUUCAUGAGAAAAUUCAACAUCAAUGUCGCAAUGGAUUUGUCUUCCAUUUUGUUGUCGUUGUCACAUUAAUUCAAAUUGGUAUCUCCAUCAACGAAAGUUGUGAACGAUUAUGAUUGAAGACUCGUUUUGGAUGCAGAGAAUGCUUCUAUUAGGACUGAUUAAGCUUAAUAGGUUCACUUGAGUGUAAGAUUUAAUUGGACCAAAUUAAAUAGAGACCGAAAUAAAUUCAGAUGCAAACAUAUCGUGCAUGUACAUUUUUUUGUUAAAUCAACACUAAGGCCUAUUUGAAAUUGAGAUUAAAUAGUUGUAGAUUAAAAAUUAAAAUAUUAAAAUAUUUAGUAAACAAUAGCUGUUGUGACUUUAAAAAUAAGUUGAUUUGAUUUUUCACUUGUGUAAUUAAAAUUUAUAUUUUUUAUUAUUUUUAAAAUUAUUAUUUAAAAGUCAUAUUUAUUAUGAAUUAUUAACUUUUAUUUCAUAAUUAUAAUAUUUUUUUUCCACAACCACCGUAGCUUAACUCAAUCAGGGCCAAUAUCAAGUUAAAAAAAAAAUUAAAGUAUUGAAUAAAAAUUUUACCUGUUUUCAUGCAUGUUCUAUGUUUAAACUUCCUAUUUACGUUAUGUGUGUCAUGGCCUGGCACAUAAUUUCUCUGUUAUGAUCCUCAUUGUUGGCCGCCUCAAUUUUGCCGAUUUUUACGUUAUACCCAAUAAAAGUUUGUGGUUUAUGAAUUAUGGCCCUCACUGGGCCAAAAUCUUGGUUCCCACUAGAGAUGGCAAAACCCCGGGCCGGGUCCGGGUAUUACCAUGACCAGACCCUACCCGGAUGUAACCGGUCCGGGUCCAGGUCCGGGCCGGGUUUUAAUCCGGAUACCCGAA
rnacentral:lncRNA from 1 species